CAUUUUCAUUCAGACCACUACAAUUACUGUGAUGACUUCUGCUCCUUUUCCUCAAAUGACAUAAUUUCAUUCUUUACACUGAAUGAACUCCAUGGUACUUACACUCAUGCUUAGAUCAUAAUACAUCAUUCUUAAAUACUUAUAUUCUUUCCAGUGAAUUUCAAAUAAGAAGAUAUAUGUGCCAGGAGGGUCUGGGGGACAUCUUGUUCAGGGAAACUGGCUAACACCAAGAAAGGACCCAACAGAUCUGGUUUAGAACCUUAUAUAUAUAAAAAAAUGAAAAUGAAGAAAAUUGAGCAACAUACUACACAAGCCAGUGACUACCUAAAGCAGUCUGAAGAGGACCUGGAUGAAGACCCUUCGUGGAAUUCCAGGAGGACCAGCCUCAACAGGAGUUUUCAGUGAGUAUUUCUGUGGGACUCUCAGCAAGAGCUUUUAGAUUCUGUCCUCCGAGCUGAUUAGGAAUAAAGGUUUAUUUGGUCAGAAUAGGAAGAGAAAAAUGCAUGUGAAGUGACAUUAUUUUUCUUAUGUUA